UAACGGAACCCAUAAUGCAGCUGUGUCAAUGAACAGCACCUGGAUGUGGGUUCCGUCU
rnacentral:pre_miRNA from 1 species